GCCUUCGUGGUGUAACGGUAGCACGCUGGACCAGUAUUCCAGGGGUCCGUGGUUCGAUUCCCGGCGAAGGCG
rnacentral:tRNA from 1 species